UCUGGCUUCUGCUUACCCUCAAGUAUAUCUUGAUUUUGGGUUUGCAAUUCCUAAACUUAGCUUCCAUGGGAUGAUAUCAUCAGUGAAAGAACUCCUGAAGCUUGCUCCAAUGAAUAAGGUUAUGUUCAGCACUGACGCCAUCGCAUUUGCUGAAGCCUUCUAUCUAGGU